UACGGGGGGAGCAAGCGUUGUUCGGAUUUACUGGGCGUAAAGGGCGCGUAGGCGGCCAGCACAAGUCAGUUGUGAAAUCUCCGAGCUUAACUCGGAACGGUCAACUGAUACUGUGCGGCUAGAGUGCAGAAGGGGCAACUGGAAUUCUUGGUGUAGCGGUGAAAUGCGUAGAUAUCAAGAGGAACACCUGCGGCGAAGGCGGGUUGCUGGGCCGACACUGACGCUGAUGCGCGAAAGCCAGGGGAGCGAACGGG
rnacentral:rRNA from 1 species